AACGAACGCUGGCGGCAUGCCUAACACAUGCAAGUCGAACGAGACCUUCGGGUCUAGUGGCGCACGGGUGCGUAACGCGUGGGAACCUGCCCUUAGGUUCGGAAUAACUCCCCGAAAGGGGUGCUAAUACCGGAUAAUGUCUUCGGACCAAAGAUUUAUCGCCUUUGGAUGGGCCCGCGUUGGAUUAGCUAGUUGGUAGGGUAAAAGCCUACCAAGGCGACGAUCCAUAGCUGGUCUGAGAGGAUGAUCAGCCACACUGGGACUGAGACACGGCCCAGACUCCUACGGGAGGCAGCAGUGGGAAAUAUUGGACAAUGGGCGAAAGCCUGAUCCAUCAAUGCCGCGUGAGUGAUGAAGGCCUUAGGGUUGUAAAGCUCUUUUACCCGGGAUGAUAAUGACAGUACCGGGAGAAUAAGCUCCGGCUAACUCCGUG
rnacentral:rRNA from 1 species